UACGGGGGGGGCAAGCGUUGUUCGGAAUUACUGGGCGUAAAGGGUUUGUAGGUGGCUUGCUAAGUCAGACGUGAAAUCCCUCAGCUUAACUGGGGAACUGCGUCUGAGACUGGCGAGCUUGAGUGCAGGAGAGGAACGCGGAAUUCCAGGUGUAGCGGUGAAAUGCGUAGAUAUCUGGAGGAACACCGGUGGCGAAGGCGGCGUUCUGGACUGCAACUGACACUGAAAAACGAAAGCCAGGGGAGCAAACGGG
rnacentral:rRNA from 1 species